UGGUUCUGGCAUCGAUGAAGAACGCAGCGAAAUGCGAUAAGUAAUGUGAAUUGCAGAAUUCAGCGAAUCAUCGAAUUUUUGAACGCACAUUGCACCUCAGAGUAUUCUUUGAGGUAUACCUGUUCGAGCGUCGUUAAACUUCUAAGGCAUCGCCUUGCGUUGAAUGUUUGGGUGUCCAACAUUCCAAACAUCUGGCAUGAAAAGUAUAGCUAGUAACACACAAACGUGUCACUGUCCUACUAUCUUCAUCUGCCCAAAUUUCGUUCGUUAACCGCGACGUAAAUUCGACCUCGGAUCAAGUAAGAUUACCCGCUGA
rnacentral:misc_RNA from 1 species